rnacentral:rRNA from 1 species
AGAGUUUGAUCAUGGCUCAGAACGAACGCUGGCGGCAUGCCUAACACAUGCAAGUCGAACGCUUUUGGGGUUUCGGCCCCAAGGGAGUGGCGCACGGGUGAGUAGCGCGUGGGAACCUGCCCUGGAGUGGGGGAUAACCGAGGGAAACUUCGGCUAAUACCGCAUGCGCCCCGGAGUGAUCCGGGGGAAAGAUUUAUCGCUCUAGGAGGGGCCCGCGUCGGAUUAGCUGGUUGGUGGGGUAACGGCCUACCAAGGCACCGAUCCGUAGCUGGUCUGAGAGGAUGAUCAGCCACACUGGGACUGAGACACGGCCCAGACUCCUACGGGAGGCAGCAGUGGGGAAUAUUGGACAAUGGGCGCAAGCCUGAUCCAGCAAUGCCGCGUGAGUGAUGAAGGCCUUAGGGUUGUAAAGCUCUUUCGCCCGCGACGAUGAUGACGGUAGCGGGAGAAGAAGCCCCGGCUACUUCGUGCCAGCAGCCGCGGUAAUACGAAGGGGGCGAGCGUUGUUCGGAUUUACUGGGCGUAAAGGGCGCGUAGGCGCGCCGCAAGUCGAGUGUGAAAGCCCCGGGCUCAACCUGGGAGGUGCGCUNNCGACUGCGGUGCUGGAGUUCGGGAGAGGAGCGUGGAAUUCCCAGUGUAGAGGUGAAAUUCGUAGAUAUUGGGAAGAACACCGGUGGCGAACGGCGCUCUGGACCGAGACUGNNNNUAGGCGCGAAGGCGUGGGGAGCAAACAGGAUUAGAUACCCNNGUAGUCC